UACAGAGGGUGCAAGCGUUAAUCGGAAUUACUGGGCGUAAAAGCGUGCGUAGACGGUUAUGUAAGUCGGGUGUGAAAGCCCGGGCUCAACCUGGGAAUUGGCAUUCGAGACUGUGUAGCUAGGGUACGGAAGAGGGAAGCGGAAUUUCAGGUGUAGCGGUGAAAUGCGUAGAUAUCUGAAGGAACACCAGUGGCGAAAGCGGCUUCCUGGUCCAGUACCGACGUCAGGCACGAAAGCGUGGGGAGCAAACAGG
rnacentral:rRNA from 1 species